GAGUUUGAUCAUGGCUCAGAUUGAACGCUGGCGGUAUGCUUAACACAUGCAAGUCGAACGGUAACAGGCCUUCGGGGCGCUGACGAGUGGCGGACGGGUGAGUAACGCGUAGGAAUCUGCCUCAUAGUGGGGGACAACGUGGGGAAACUCACGCUAAUACCGCAUACGCCCUACGGGGGAAAGCGGGGGAUCUUCGGACCUCGCGCUAUGAGAUGAGCCUGCGUUAGAUUAGCUAGUUGGUAGGGUAAAGGCCUACCAAGGCGACGAUCUAUAGCUGGUCUGAGAGGACGAUCAGCCACACUGGGACUGAGACACGGCCCAGACUCCUACGGGAGGCAGCAGUGGGGAAUAUUGGACAAUGGGCGCAAGCCUGAUCCAGCAAUACCGCGUGUGUGAAGAAGGCCUUAGGGUUGUAAAGCUCUUUUGGUCGGGAAGAAAGUGCCCUGCUUAAUACGCGGGGUAUUUGACGGUACCGGCAGAAUAAGCACCGGCUAACUACGUG
rnacentral:rRNA from 1 species